GGGUUGUGAGGUUAAGCGACUAAGCGUACACGGUGGAUGCCCUGGCAGUCAGAGGCGAUGAAGGACGUGCUAAUCUGCGAAAAGCGUCGGUAAGGUGAUAUGAACCGUUAUAGCCGGCGAUGUCCGAAUGGGGAAACCCAGUGCAAUUCGUUGCACUAUCGUUAACUGAAUACAUAGGUUAACGAGGCGAACCGGGGGAACUGAAACAUCUAAGUACCCCGAGGAAAAGAAAUCAACCGAGAUUCCCCCAGUAGCGGCGAGCGAACGGGGAGCAGCCCAGAGUCUGAAUCAGCUUGUGUGUUAGUGGAACGGUCUGGAAAGUCCGACGGUACAGGGUGAUAGUCCCGUACACCAAAAUGCACAGGCUGUGAACUCGAAGAGUAGGGCGGGACACGUGGUAUCCUGUCUGAAUAUGGGGGGACCAUCCUCCAAGGCUAAAUACUCCUGACUGACCGAUAGUGAACCAGUACCGUGAGGGAAAGGCGAAAAGAACCCCGGCGAGGGGAGUGAAAAAGAACCUGAAACCGUGUACGUACAAGCAGUGGGAGCACCUUCGUGGUGUGACUGCGUACCUUUUGUAUAAUGGGUCAGCGACUUAUAUUCUGUAGCAAGGUUAACCGUAUAGGGGAGCCGCAGGGAAACCGAGUCUUAACUGGGCGUUAAGUUGCAGGGUAUAGACCCGAAACCCGGUGAUCUAGCCAUGGGCAGGUUGAAGGUUGGGUAACACUAACUGGAGGACCGAACCGACUAAUGUUGAAAAAUUAGCGGAUGACUUGUGGCUGGGGGUGAAAGGCCAAUCAAACCGGGAGAUAGCUGGUUCUCCCCGAAAGCUAUUUAGGUAGCGCCUCGUGAACUCAUCUUCGGGGGUAGAGCACUGUUUCGGCUAGGGGGUCAUCCCGACUUACCAACCCGAUGCAAACUACGAAUACCGAAGAAUGUUAUCACGGGAGACACACGGCGGGUGCUAACGUCCGUCGUGAAGAGGGAAACAACCCAGACCGCCAGCUAAGGUCCCAAAGUCAUGGUUAAGUGGGAAACGAUGUGGGAAGGCACAGACAGCCAGGAUGUUGGCUUAGAAGCAGCCAUCAUUUAAAGAAAGCGUAAUAGCUCACUGGUCGAGUCGGCCUGCGCGGAAGAUGUAACGGGGCUAAACCAUGCACCGAAGCUGCGGCAGCGACACUAUGUGUUGUUGGGUAGGGGAGCGUUCUGUAAGCCUGCGAAGGUGGCCUGUGAGGGUUGCUGGAGGUAUCAGAAGUGCGAAUGCUGACAUAAGUAACGAUAAAGCGGGUGAAAAGCCCGCUCGCCGGAAGACCAAGGGUUCCUGUCCAACGUUAAUCGGGGCAGGGUGAGUCGACCCCUAAGGCGAGGCCGAAAGGCGUAGUCGAUGGGAAACAGGUUAAUAUUCCUGUACUUGGUGUUACUGCGAAGGGGGGACGGAGAAGGCUAUGUUAGCCGGGCGACGGUUGUCCCGGUUUAAGCAUGUAGGCUGAUUAUCCAGGCAAAUCCGGAUAAUCAAGGCUGAGGUGUGAUGACGAGGCACUACGGUGCUGAAGUAACAAAUGCCCUGCUUCCAGGAAAAGCCUCUAAGCAUCAGGUAACAUCAAAUCGUACCCCAAACCGACACAGGUGGUCAGGUAGAGAAUACCAAGGCGCUUGAGAGAACUCGGGUGAAGGAACUAGGCAAAAUGGUGCCGUAACUUCGGGAGAAGGCACGCUGGUGUGUAGGUGAAGUCCCUGCGGAUGGAGCUGAGACCAGUCGAAGAUACCAGCUGGCUGCAACUGUUUAUUAAAAACACAGCACUGUGCAAACACGAAAGUGGACGUAUACGGUGUGACGCCUGCCCGGUGCCGGAAGGUUAAUUGAUGGGGUUAUCCGUAAGGAGAAGCUCUUGAUCGAAGCCCCGGUAAACGGCGGCCGUAACUAUAACGGUCCUAAGGUAGCGAAAUUCCUUGUCGGGUAAGUUCCGACCUGCACGAAUGGCGUAAUGAUGGCCAGGCUGUCUCCACCCGAGACUCAGUGAAAUUGAACUCGCUGUGAAGAUGCAGUGUACCCGCGGCAAGACGGAAAGACCCCGUGAACCUUUACUAUAGCUUGACACUGAACAUUGAGCCUUGAUGUGUAGGAUAGGUGGGAGGCUUUGAAGCGUGGACGCCAGUCUGCGUGGAGCCAACCUUGAAAUACCACCCUUUAAUGUUUGAUGUUCUAACGUUGGCCCCUUAUCGGGGUUGCGGACAGUGUCUGGUGGGUAGUUUGACUGGGGCGGUCUCCUCCCAAAGCGUAACGGAGGAGCACGAAGGUUAGCUAAUCCUGGUCGGACAUCAGGAGGUUAGUGCAAUGGCAUAAGCUAGCUUGACUGCGAGCGUGACGGCGCGAGCAGGUGCGAAAGCAGGUCAUAGUGAUCCGGUGGUUCUGAAUGGAAGGGCCAUCGCUCAACGGAUAAAAGGUACUCCGGGGAUAACAGGCUGAUACCGCCCAAGAGUUCAUAUCGACGGCGGUGUUUGGCACCUCGAUGUCGGCUCAUCACAUCCUGGGGCUGAAGUAGGUCCCAAGGGUAUGGCUGUUCGCCAUUUAAAGUGGUACGCGAGCUGGGUUUAGAACGUCGUGAGACAGUUCGGUCCCUAUCUGCCGUGGGCGCUGGAGAAUUGAGGGGGGCUGCUCCUAGUACGAGAGGACCGGAGUGGACGCAUCACUGGUGUUCGGGUUGUCAUGCCAAUGGCACUGCCCGGUAGCUAAAUGCGGAAGAGAUAAGUGCUGAAAGCAUCUAAGCACGAAACUUGCCCCGAGAUGAGUUCUCCCUGAGACUUUAAGUCUCCUGAAGGAACGUUGAAGACGACGACGUUGAUAGGCCGGGUGUGUAAGCGCAGCGAUGCGUUGAGCUAACCGGUACUAAUGAACCGUGAGGCUUAACCUUACAACGCCGAAG
rnacentral:rRNA from 1 species